GAUGAACGCUGGCGGCGUGCCUAAUACAUGCAAGUCGAGCGAACGGACGAGAAGCUUGCUUCUCUGAUGUUAGCGGCGGACGGGUGAGUAACACGUGGAUAACCUACCUAUAAGACUGGGAUAACUUCGGGAAACCGGAGCUAAUACCGGAUAAUAUUUUGAACCGCAUGGUUCAAAGGUGAAAGACGGUCUUGCUGUCACUUAUAGAUGGAUCCGCGCUGCAUUAGCUAGUUGGUAAGGUAACGGCUUACCAAGGCAACGAUGCAUAGCCGACCUGAGAGGGUGAUCGGCCACACUGGAACUGAGACACGGUCCAGACUCCUACGGGAGGCAGCAGUAGGGAAUCUUCCGCAAUGGGCGAAAGCCUGACGGAGCAACGCCGCGUGAGUGAUGAAGGUCUUCGGAUCGGAAAACUCUGUUAUUAGGGAAGAACAUAUGUGUAAGUAACUGUGCACAUCUUGACGGUACCUAAUCAGAAAGCCACGGCUAACUACGUG
rnacentral:rRNA from 1 species